UGAAUAGAAGGCACAUAGUGAAUGCCUAGGCACUGAAAGGCGAUGAAGGACGUGCUAAGCUGCGAUAAGCUCCGGAUAGCGGCAAAGACGCUACAAAUCGGAGAUCUCCGAAUAGGAUAACCUGCUACAAGUAAUUGUAGAAUUCCACUUUGUGGAAAGCCAAACCUGGGGAAGUGAAACAUCUCAGUACCCAGAGGAAAAGAAAGCGAAAGCGAUUCCGUCAGUAGUGGCGAACGAAAGCGGAACAGCCCAAACCAAGUUUAUCUUGGGGUUGUAGGAUCCACGAUAUGGCAUUGAUUCUGGUUAGGUGAAGCUUCAGGAAAGUUGCGCCAAAGAGGGUGAAAGGCCCGUAACCGAAAACUGGAAUCAGCCUAGAGGACACCUGAGUAAUGCGACACACGUGAAACUUCGCAUGAAUCUGCGCCGACCACGGCGUAAGGCUAAAUACUAAUCAGUGACCGACAGUGAACAAGUACCGCGAGGGAAAGGUGAAAAGAACCGCUGCGAGCGGAGUGAAAUAGUACCUGAAACCAUGUGCUUACAAGGUGUCAAAGCCGGCUUGUCCGGUGAUGGCGUGCCUUUUGCUUAAUGAGUCUGCGAGUUAGUUUUAGUGGCGCUGCUUAAACCCUUCUGGGGGAUAGGCAUAGCGAAAGCGAGUCUUAAAAGGGCGACAAGUUGCUAGAGCUAAACCCGAAGCGGUGGUGAUCUACCCAUGGCCAGGCAGAAGUGUUGGUAAUACGACAUGAAAGGCCGAACCGGUGAAUCUUGAGAAAUUCUCGGAUGAGUUGUGGGUAGGAGUGAAAGGCUAAUCAAACCCCGUAAUAGCUGGUUCUCCUCGAAAUGUAUUUAGGUGCAGCGUCAUGUGCUGAUCGAAGGGGGUAGAGCACUGAAUGAGCUAGGGGGCAUACCCGUCUACCAAACUCAAUCAAACUCCGAAUACCUUCGAAUGAAGCAUGGCAGUAAGACAGUGGGGGAUAAGCUUCAUUGUCGAAAGGGAAACAACCCAGCCCAGCAGCUAAGGUGCCCAAAUGUCGCUCAGUGGAAAGGAAGUGAGAUUUCAUUGACAGUGAGGAUGUUGGCUUAGAAGCAGCCACCAUUUAAACAGUGCGUAAUAGCUGACUCAUCGAGAGAUCUCGCGCCGAAAAUGAUUGGCGAUCAAGCGACAUACCGAAGCUCUGGAUUUGCACGCAAGUGUGAGUGGUAGAGGAGCGUUCUUAACACGUUGAAGCUGUAAGGUGACUGACAGUCGAGAGUUAAGAAGUGAGGAUGCAGACAUAAGUAACGAUAGGGCAGUGAAAUCCUGCCCCGCCAUAAACCCAAGGUUUCCUGGGCAACGAUGUUCGUCCCAGGGUUAGCCGGGGCCUAAGUUUAAGCCGAACGGCGAAAGCGAUGGAAAGCAGUUUAAAAUUACUGCGCCGUAUAUGAUUAAGCUAAGAUGCUGCGGAGAGAAAGCAAUACAGACCUUAUUGACUUGGCAGGAAGUGCUUUGGCAUGACCGUGUAUUGAUGAUCGCCGCCUAGAAAAUCGUCUUAGUGUUUCCAUAAACGCCCGUACCGCAAACCGACACAGGUGGGUGGGUAGAAUAUACCAAGGCGUAAGAGUGAACCCUCGUUAAGGAACUCUGCAAUCUAGUCCCGUAACUUCGGAAGAAGGGAUGCCUGUCUUUGACAGGUCGCAGUGAAAGGGGUCAACCGACUGUUUAUCAAAAACACAGCAUUGUGCUAAGACGAAAGUCCAAGUAUACGAUGUGACACGUGACCAAUGCGGAAAGAUUAAGGCAAGGGGUUAGCCGCAAGGCGAAGCUCUGAACCCAAGUCCCCGUGAAUGUCGGCCGUAACUAUAACGGUCCUAAGGUAGCGAAAUUCCUUGUCGGGUAAGUUCCGACCUGCACGAAUCGUGUAACGAGUUGACCGCUGUCUCAACGAGGCGCUCAGUGAAUUUGUAGUGGCGGUGAAGAUGCCGCCUACCCGCGGAAGGACGGAAAGACCCUAUGCACCUUAACUGUAAGCUGUCACUGAAUCGCUGAUUUCAAUGCUCAGAGUAAGUGGGAGGCUUUGAAGCUAAACUUUCGGGUUUAGUGGAGCCAAAAGUGAGACACCACCCUUUGGUAUUGGCGAUUCUAACCGAGAAAUCGGGACCAUGUCAGCCGGUCAGUUUUACUGGGGCGGUAUCCUCCCAAAGAGUAACGGAGGAGCGCGAAGGUUGGCUCAGCGCGGUUGGUAAUCGCGUGUUGAGUGCACAGGCAUAAGCCAGCCUAACUGUGAGACCAACAAGUCGAACAGAUACGAAAGUAGGCCUGAGUGAUCCGGCGGUUUAAUGUGGAAUUGCCGUCGCUUAACGGACAAAAGGUACGCUAGGGAUAACAGGCUGAUUUCAUCCAAGAGUUCAUAUCGACGAUGAAGUUUGGCACCUCGAUGUCGGCUCGUCGCAUCCUGGGGCUGGAGAAGGUCCCAAGGGUUAGGCUGUUCGCCUAUUAAAGCGGCACGCGAGCUGGGUUCAGAACGUCGCGAGACAGUUCGGUCCUCUAUCCUCCGUGGGCGUUGGAGAAUUGAAGGGUUUACUUCCUAGUACGAGAGGACCGGAAGUAACGCACCUCUGGUGUUCCAGUUGUCACGUCAGUGGCACAGCUGGGUAGCUAUGUGCGGAAAGGAUAAGCGCUGAAAGCAUCUAAGUGCCAAGCCCCUCCUAAGAUGAGUUCUCCCUAUAGGAUCGUGGAAGACUACCACGUUGAUAGAAUGAUGGUCUAAGCACAGUAAUGUGUUAAGCUUAUCAUCACUAAUCAUCCAAUUGAAUUAAUUAU
rnacentral:rRNA from 1 species